UUAAGCGACUAAGCGUACACGGUGGAUGCCCUGGCAGUCAGAGGCGAUGAAGGACGUGCUAAUCUGCGAAAAGCGUCGGUAAGGUGAUAUGAACCGUUAUAACCGGCGAUGUCCGAAUGGGGAAACCCAGUGCAAUUCGUUGCACUAUCGUUAACUGAAUACAUAGGUUAACGAGGCGAACCGGGGGAACUGAAACAUCUAAGUACCCCGAGGAAAAGAAAUCAACCGAGAUUCCCCCAGUAGCGGCGAGCGAACGGGGAGCAGCCCAGAGUCUGAAUCAGCUUGUGUGUUAGUGGAACGGUCUGGAAAGUCCGACGGUACAGGGUGAUAGUCCCGUACACCAAAAUGCACAGGUUGUGAACUCGAAGAGUAGGGCGGGACACGUGGUAUCCUGUCUGAAUAUGGGGGGACCAUCCUCCAAGGCUAAAUACUCCUGACUGACCGAUAGUGAACCAGUACCGUGAGGGAAAGGCGAAAAGAACCCCGGCGAGGGGAGUGAAAAAGAACCUGAAACCGUGUACGUACAAGCAGUGGGAGCACCUUCGGGUGUGACUGCGUACCUUUUGUAUAAUGGGUCAGCGACUUAUAUUCUGUAGCAAGGUUAACCGUAUAGGGGAGCCGCAGGGAAACCGAGUCUUAACUGGGCGUUAAGUUGCAGGGUAUAGACCCGAAACCCGGUGAUCUAGCCAUGGGCAGGUUGAAGGUUGGGUAACACUAACUGGAGGACCGAACCGACUAAUGUUGAAAAAUUAGCGGAUGACUUGUGGCUGGGGGUGAAAGGCCAAUCAAACCGGGAGAUAGCUGGUUCUCCCCGAAAGCUAUUUAGGUAGCGCCUCGUGAACUCAUCUUCGGGGGUAGAGCACUGUUUCGGCUAGGGGGUCAUCCCGACUUACCAACCCGAUGCAAACUACGAAUACCGAAGAAUGUUAUCACGGGAGACACACGGCGGGUGCUAACGUCCGUCGUGAAGAGGGAAACAACCCAGACCGCCAGCUAAGGUCCCAAAGUCAUGGUUAAGUGGGAAACGAUGUGGGAAGGCACAGACAGCCAGGAUGUUGGCUUAGAAGCAGCCAUCAUUUAAAGAAAGCGUAAUAGCUCACUGGUCGAGUCGGCCUGCGCGGAAGAUGUAACGGGGCUAAACCAUGCACCGAAGCUGCGGCAGCGACACUAUGUGUUGUUGGGUAGGGGAGCGUUCUGUAAGCCUGCGAAGGUGUGCUGUGAGGGUUGCUGGAGGUAUCAGAAGUGCGAAUGCUGACAUAAGUAACGAUAAAGCGGGUGAAAAGCCCGCUCGCCGGAAGACCAAGGGUUCCUGUCCAACGUUAAUCGGGGCAGGGUGAGUCGACCCCUAAGGCGAGGCCGAAAGGCGUAGUCGAUGGGAAACAGGUUAAUAUUCCUGUACUUGGUGUUACUGCGAAGGGGGGACGGAGAAGGCUAUGUUAGCCGGGCGACGGUUGUCCCGGUUUAAGCAUGUAGGCUGGUUGUCCAGGCAAAUCCGGAUAAUCAAGGCUGAGGUGUGAUGACGAGGCACUACGGUGCUGAAGUAACAAAUGCCCUGCUUCCAGGAAAAGCCUCUAAGCAUCAGGUAACAUCAAAUCGUACCCCAAACCGACACAGGUGGUCAGGUAGAGAAUACCAAGGCGCUUGAGAGAACUCGGGUGAAGGAACUAGGCAAAAUGGUGCCGUAACUUCGGGAGAAGGCACGCUGGUGUGUAGGUGAAGUCCCUGCGGAUGGAGCUGAGACCAGUCGAAGAUACCAGCUGGCUGCAACUGUUUAUUAAAAACACAGCACUGUGCAAACACGAAAGUGGACGUAUACGGUGUGACGCCUGCCCGGUGCCGGAAGGUUAAUUGAUGGGGUUAUCCGUAAGGAGAAGCUCUUGAUCGAAGCCCCGGUAAACGGCGGCCGUAACUAUAACGGUCCUAAGGUAGCGAAAUUCCUUGUCGGGUAAGUUCCGACCUGCACGAAUGGCGUAAUGAUGGCCAGGCUGUCUCCACCCGAGACUCAGUGAAAUUGAACUCGCUGUGAAGAUGCAGUGUACCCGCGGCAAGACGGAAAGACCCCGUGAACCUUUACUAUAGCUUGACACUGAACAUUGAGCCUUGAUGUGUAGGAUAGGUGGGAGGCUUUGAAGCGUGGACGCCAGUCUGCGUGGAGCCAACCUUGAAAUACCACCCUUUAAUGUUUGAUGUUCUAACGUUGGCCCCUGACCGGGGUUGCGGACAGUGUCUGGUGGGUAGUUUGACUGGGGCGGUCUCCUCCCAAAGCGUAACGGAGGAGCACGAAGGUUAGCUAAUCCUGGUCGGACAUCAGGAGGUUAGUGCAAUGGCAUAAGCUAGCUUGACUGCGAGCGUGACGGCGCGAGCAGGUGCGAAAGCAGGUCAUAGUGAUCCGGUGGUUCUGAAUGGAAGGGCCAUCGCUCAACGGAUAAAAGGUACUCCGGGGAUAACAGGCUGAUACCGCCCAAGAGUUCAUAUCGACGGCGGUGUUUGGCACCUCGAUGUCGGCUCAUCACAUCCUGGGGCUGAAGUAGGUCCCAAGGGUAUGGCUGUUCGCCAUUUAAAGUGGUACGCGAGCUGGGUUUAGAACGUCGUGAGACAGUUCGGUCCCUAUCUGCCGUGGGCGCUGGAGAAUUGAGGGGGGCUGCUCCUAGUACGAGAGGACCGGAGUGGACGCAUCACUGGUGUUCGGGUUGUCAUGCCAAUGGCACUGCCCGGUAGCUAAAUGCGGAAGAGAUAAGUGCUGAAAGCAUCUAAGCACGAAACUUGCCCCGAGAUGAGUUCUCCCUGAGACUUUAAGUCUCCUGAAGGAACGUUGAAGACGACGACGUUGAUAGGCCGGGUGUGUAAGCGCAGCGAUGCGUUGAGCUAACCGGUACUAAUGAACCGUGAGGCUUAACCUU
rnacentral:rRNA from 1 species